ensembl:lncRNA
UCAAGAACAGCCUUUGUGGCUGCAGUAGUGGAGGAAGGAAAAGUAUAGCCCAGGCUGAAGUGGUGGAUGGAAAAACCCUCAGACAUCCUCAUUGCACUGAUUAGUAUCUUGAGUCAUUGCCUUUGGGGGAGGUGAGAGUUUCCUCAGUACAGAUGAGUUAGAUGAGUUCCUUUAAUGAGGUUAUAUACAAGAGGCAUUGCACGCAUGAUGGUGUUCCCUGGAAAAAAAAAAAAAAAGAGAAAGCUAUCUUAUUUUCACUGCUGAGGGUAGAGGUCUCACCAAGGGUCAUCAGUAUCAAAACAAUGAGAUUUGAGAGCUGCCAAAGCUGCCCUACAUACCCAACUGAAGGCAGCUGGAAGUGGCAACUGGUGAUGGGCAGAGGGGUAACACGGUGUGGCUGCUCCAUGCCCACAGAUCUGCCUCAGGCAGAGGGUCUGUCACCACAGAGGGUCCCCGUCCUGCCCAUCACAGGCUCUCCCUGUCCCAGCUGCCAGGCAGCCGGCGGCAGUGGCACAGCAAAGGCCAAUGCACAGGCGGUAACACUAAUGCAAUGUGAAACCUCCCCCAGACAGCCGGGUGUGAGGGUGGAGGGGAAUGAGGACACGGGUGAAAAAGGGAAAGAAAUCACUCUGUCUCUUUAUCUCCUUUCAACGGACAUUUGUUACACAAUGUGCAUGUUUCUGCCACUUCAUACAGCAUACGUUAGGUUUUCCUGCCUCCUGUGAGCACUGACAGGACACAGCACGAAGACAAAGCUAGUUGCUGAAGAACUACUUCUGAAACACCCAUGAGACGUGAAGAACAACCGGUGAUCUCCUACAGGGAACAAUCUGCCACCAGAAGAGCUGUGCAUUUAAGUGAUUGUUUUGGCUCUGUUGCCAGCUCAUGCCCUCAUUCUAAGGCGCACACAAAAACCAUAAAAUAAAAAAAUUAAAACAAAAAGUGUUUCUUGGGAAAGGAAAUCCUAAGAACAUUGAAUGUGUUCAAAAGACAUUCAUUUGGGUACUUGCAGAUGAAGGAAAUAAAUGCCAGAUUCACAGAAGCUGAGGUGGAACACGCAUCGGGACUGGAGAACUAGUUCAGUUUCCAUCUCUCGGAAGAAAUGUGUGCACGUGCCACACAGGACAACAUUCUUAGUAAUCCCCUGUAAGGUGGCCGUGUCUGCUCAUGGUUUGGAGCGUUGCUCCUUGGUCUCUUCCAAUGAGACAUCCACUUUGUGUGCAGCAUUUUAUGUUCACACAGUCUAGGAACCAAACAACCACUUCCCUGCUGCGUGGGUCGUUUUCACAUUCAGCUCUAGCAAACAUUAAAAGCAGUUUGUUCCAAGAAGAUUAACUUCAAAUGGACUGCCUAAGGUAACCCAGAAGAGUUUAAAGUGACCUAGCAGCCACUUGUAGGAUAGUCAUCUGCAAGAUGGAAGAGCUAGGUUAAAACCUGCCUUUAAAAGAAGCACCACAGCUUUGAAUGGGCAUUCAGUACUUCCCAGUAAAGCCCCUAAGUGCCUCUGUGUCUCAGGAUUCUAUUUGAACUGAGUAAAGCUGGCUAGUGUUUGAGUGCUCUUCAGAUAAGCUCUGGGAAAUCAGGCAAGAAUAGUGUUUCAGGUUAUUGAGAAAGAUGAAGAAAUUGCUUGAUGUCACUGCACUGAUGAUGGGAAGACCCUUAUUUCUCCUUUCUUCUCUUCCUCAUAUGUGGAACUAGAGAGGUAAGCCUGCAAUAGAAAUUUUCUAUACCAAGUUAUGUAUUCAUCAAUACUCACUUCUCUCUGGAUUAGAGAGAUAGUAAAUACUUAGAUCUGAAUACUCCAUUUUGUUUCAUUUCCAAGUUGUGGAGUAUUUUUUUGUUUUGUUUUUAGAUUCUUUUCAUUUUGGUGCUCUUUAUCUUAACA